GCUGGCGGCGUGCCUAACACAUGCAAGUCGAACGAGAAAGUGGAGCAAUCCAUGAGUACAGUGGCGUACGGGUGAGUAACACGUGACUAACCUACCCUCGAGUGGGGAAUAACUUCGGGAAACCGAGGCUAAUACCGCAUAAUGUCUACGGACCAAAUGCGCAAGCAGCUUGAGGAGGGGGUCGCGGCUGAUUAGCUUGUUGGCGGGGUAACGGCCCACCAAGGCAAUGAUCAGUAGCCGGCCUGAGAGGGCGCACGGCCACACUGGAACUGAAACACGGUCCAGACUCCUACGGGAGGCAGCAGUGGGGAAUUUUGCGCAAUGGGGGAAACCCUGACGCAGCAACGCCGCGUGGAGGAUGAAGCCCCUUGGGGUGUAAACUCCUUUCGAUCGGGACGAUUAUGACGGUACCGGAUGAAGAAGCACCGGCUAACUCUGUGCCAGCAGCCGCGGUAAUACGGAGGGUGCAAGCGUUGUUCGGAAUUAUUGGGCGUAAAGGGUGCGUAGGCGGUACGGUAAGUCUUCUGUGAAACCUCCGGGCUUAACUCGGAGCCUGCAGGGGAAACUGCCGUGCUGGAGUAUGGGAGAGGUGAGUGGAAUUCCCGGUGUA
rnacentral:rRNA from 1 species